ncrna:unclassified sequences COG2908 RNA
AGCCGCUCAACCUUUCGGUGUAGAGUUUGUCGCAUAGCGAUGGCU